GAUGAACGCUGGCGGCGUGCCUAACACAUGCAAGUCGAGCGAAGCACCUGGAUUUGAUUCUUCGGAUGAAGAUUGGGGUGACUGAGCGGCGGACGGGUGAGUAACGCGUGGGCAACCUGCCUUACACAGGGGGAUAACAGUUAGAAAUGGCUGCUAAUACCGCAUAAGACCACAUUGCCGCAUGGCAGGGUGGCAAAAACUCCGGUGGUGUAAGAUGGGCCCGCGUCUGAUUAGGUAGUUGGUGGGGUAGAGGCCCACCAAGCCGACGAUCAGUAGCCGGCCUGAGAGGGUGGACGGCCACAUUGGGACUGAGACACGGCCCAA
rnacentral:rRNA from 1 species